rnacentral:tRNA from 1 species
GAGGAUGUAAUUUAGUUGGUUAAAAUGUUAGCUUGUCACGCUAAUUAUCACGGGUUCAAGUCCCGUCAUUCUCG